GCAGUCCUGGCCGAGUGGUUGAGGCGAUGGACUAGAAAUCCAUUGGGGUCUCCCCCCACACAGGUUCGAAUCCUGCUGAUUGCG
rnacentral:tRNA from 2 species